rnacentral:rRNA from 1 species
CAGUCGCCGCGGUAAUACGAAGGGGGCUAGCGUUGUUCGGAUUUACUGUGCGUAAAGCGCACGUAGGCGGACUUUUAAGUCAGGGGUGAAAUCCCGGGGCUCAACCCCGGAACUGCCUUUGAUACUGGAAGUCUUGAGUAUGGUAGAGGUGAGUGGAAUUCCGAGUGUAGAGGUGAAAUUCGUAGAUAUUCGGAGGAACACCAGUGGCGAAGGCGGCUCACUGGACCAUUACUGACGCUGAGGUGCGAAAGCGUGGGGAGCAAACAGGAUUAGAUACCCCCGUAGUCCCUGUCUCUUAUAA